rnacentral:RNase_P_RNA from 1 species
AGAGUCGCCCGGAUCACCGCGUUGCAGCAAUGCACCGAGGAAAGUCCGGACUCCAUAGAGCAAAGUGGUGGGUAACGCCCACCCGGAGCAAUCCGCGGGAUUAGUGCAACAGAAAGCAAACCGCCUCUGUUAGAAAUAACAGCGGUAAGGGUGAAACGGCGGUGUAAGAGACCACCAGUAAU